GAGUGUUCUUGAUUAUGAAGUCGGUUAAAGGAGAUGCAGAAGUUAAGGAGAGGUUGAGCAGCUCAAAAAUCUAGUGAAAAAACAGUUUGUUAAUUAUCAACAAUGACUUGGCUAAAAAAAUGUACUUAUGAGAAGUUAAGAGACAAUAAUUAGAACCUUAAAAUAAAGAUAUAAGUUAAUAAAAGAUUAUCAACACACAUGAAGACGAAGCUAGCUACACAACAAAAAUGGAAUUAACAAGGAAAAAUAUUACUUAGUACAAAACUAUAUAAAGUAGUUCAUGUUAUAAGUGAUCAUUUAAUAUAAAAUUUGUUAAAUUUAAUUAUUACUCCCUCCCGCUCCAAUUAAAUGAUCCAAAACAAUUGGGUAAUGGAAUUAAGAAAUAUGUGAUAAAGGUGUAAAGUGGUGGUGAGACAAUCCAAAAAAUAGUGUUAAAUGUCUAAUUUUAUUUAUAAAUUUAUGUUGGGUCAUUUGAAAUGUGACAACUCAAAAUAGAAAUUGGGUAAUUUAUAAUGGAACGAAGGGAGUUUUUUUUUUUUUUGAAGCGUUGUUAAAUUAAAUUAUUAAAUGCAUAAUUAUCACAAUACCUUCCUAAUUUUGUUUCAAAAUUUUAGUGAGGCCCAUCGAACCCUAAUAAUGAAUUAAAAACAAUUAUAUAGACUAAUAUGGAAUGAACUUAGUUAAAAUUAAAGUAUAUAAAAUUAAAAUUGAAGAAAAAAUAUAUAUAAAAUAAUAUAAAAAAUUGGAAGUGCAUGGAACACAAAAUGGGACUCCAAAUAUGGUAUAUUGAAUCUCAAUACUACCCUUCUCCCUCUAUAUUUUUUUUCAGAAUCAAGAAUAUUUAGACAAAAAAAAGGAUUAAGAAUGUGAACUCAUGACUAAUUACCACAUUAACACCUAAGCUCAAACUCCUCAUUUCUGCCCCUUGCGUGUCUGUGAUGCCAAAAUCGACCAGCACUUGAACUAUUCCGGUCACAAUCGGCGCGACGCGCAGAUCGUCGGCGACGACGAAAAACAACGGACUGAUUACGAAAGCUCCGCCGUCGCCGUCGCCGUCG
rnacentral:lncRNA from 1 species